rnacentral:rRNA from 1 species
UGGGGAAUAUUGCACAAUGGGCGAAAGCCUGAUGCAGCAACGCCGCGUGCGGGAUGACGGCCUUCGGGUUGUAAACCGCUUUCAGCAGGGACGAAGGUUUUCUGACGGUACCUGCAGAAGAAGCACCGGCUAACUACGUGCCAGCAGCCGCGGUGAUACGUAGGGUGCGAGCGUUGUCCGGAAUUAUUGGGCGUAAAGAGCUUGUAGGCGGUCCGUUGCGUCGGAAGUGAAAACUCAGGGCUUAACCCUGAGCCUGCUUUCGAUACGGGCGGACUUGAGGGAUGUAGGGGAGAACGGAAUUCCUGGUGGAGCGGUGGAAUGCGCAGAUAUCAGGAGGAACACCAGUGGCGAAGGCGGUUCUCUGGACAUUUCCUGACGCUGAGAAGCGAAAGCGUGGGGAGCAAACAGGCUUAGAUACCCUGGUAGUCCACGCCGUAAACGGUGGGCACUAGGUGUGGGACCCAUUCCACGGGUUCCGUGCCGUAGCUAACGCAUUAAGUGCCCCGCCUGGGGAGUACGGCCGCAGGGCUAAAACCUCAAAGGAAUUGACGGGGUCAUGAGCUGUUU